UACAGAGGGGGCAAGCGUUGUUCGGAAUUACUGGGCGUAAAGGGCGCGUAGGCGGCCUGCUAAGUCGAACGUGAAAUCCCUGGGCUCAACCCAGGAACUGCGUCCGAUACUGGUUGGCUUGAAUCCGGGAGAGGGGCGUGGAAUUCCAGGUGUAGCGGUGAAAUGCGUAGAUAUCUGGAGGAACACCGGUGGCGAAGGCGACGUCCUGGACCGGCAUUGACGCUGAGACGCGAAAGCGUGGGGAGCAAACAGG
rnacentral:rRNA from 1 species